GGGAAGGUAGCUCAUUGGUAGAGUGCUUGCCUUGCAUGCAUGAGGCCCUGGGUUCAAUUCCUCAGCACCA
rfam:Dipodomys ordii contig_62184, whole genome shotgun sequence.